rnacentral:misc_RNA from 1 species
GAGCUCACACGCAAACGCACAAGCACGCACACACGCAGGUAUUAGACGAAGGUAAUCGCAGUCCACACCAUCUCACGGACGAAAUACAGCACACAUGCCUCCAAGGGCACGGCCGUCGGCGCGGCGGCGCCAGCGCAGUAGCGGGACGCGAGUUGGCAGCAUCAGCGGCAGACCCAUCACCGCUACCGGCGCCGGAGACAGUGAGACAGGCGCCGCUGCAGAGUGCCGGCGGGCACACAACUCGGGGAAUGGCGGCAGCACCGGUAGCGACUCUAGCGGCAACAAAAGGUGGAACGGGUCGCGCACGUCUGCCGCCACCACUGACGCGCCUCCGUGCCUUGUCAUGCCAACAACAGCGGCGGUGCGUGCCUCUCGCGCGCCCAACACGCACGACCGCGAAACCGACGAGGACGAGGCGGACAUGUUACAGCGCUUCUCGAACGUGUCAGAACGGCAGAACGCACGGGGGAUGUCUCCGCCGCCCUCUCCCUCUCGCGCAUUCGAUGGCACCGGGGACGCGGAGUGUGCGAUGCACAUGCCACCGGCACAACACGGCGAUCGCGCUGCCGUAUCGCUGGAGCGCGUCCCCGUAUCCGUGCUGCCUGUAUGCGCCUCGGACAAGACAGCAGGCGCGUCCAGCCCUGCACAGGCAUCGCCGCCAAGCCAGUCCGUCCGAAGCUUUUCUUCAACCUUGCUGUCCCAGCUCCUUCUGGCUGAAGCAGCGCGCGCAGAAGCAGCAGCAGUGACCGUGGCACAGCAACAAUGUCACGACAGCGUUGACGAUGGCAGCUACGCAAGCGCGGCGCCGUUCUGCGCGUCGACACCCUCGCAGGAUUCGCAGUUGCCGCCACGGAUGACUGCCAUGGAGACAACUCGAUUAUACCGACACCAUCGUGGCUCGGGCGCGGCAUCCCUGCACGAACAGCUGCCAGAAUCACCGUCGUCUGUGGCAGCGUCUCCGGCGCGACUGCCCAUGGACUACCUCGCCGUGUCCAUCGGUGUCGUGCCCCUUCCGGGCUCGGAGACGCCGCACGGGAGUGCGGCCCCGCGCAAGAGGAGCCGAUGGUGGCCCUGGAGUCUCACUGCCCCAACGGUAACCCCAAAUGCCGCGACCGGCGUCGUCGGUGAAGCAGCCUGCGAUACGGCUAGCCGCAUCACAAGGGUCGAUGGUAAUGCGGCGGAGGCGAGCUGGCUCACCGUCCAUGGCGACCCGACGGUCUCUGUGCACCAGCUGCGCCCGCUACGUUUCUACACAAGUGGCCAGCAGCACACGGCCGGCGCCGCAGCCGGCCGUAGCUCCACUUCGCCCACUCUCAAACAGCCCACCGGCGUGACAGCGACGGCGGUGGCCGACAACGUCGUCUCGAUCGAGCCCAGCAGCCGCACCAUGGAUGUGCUGGGGUGGUCCGGCGUGUUCGCAGAUGUGCCGCUCGCCCUCCCUGGUGCGCAACCAACGAACCUCCCGGGGGCAACGGGUUCUGUCGUGAAGGGGAGCAAAGGCGUCCACGCACGCGGUGGUGACCGUGACGGUAGCUCGCAGUCGGAGGCACUGUUCUGCAGCGGUGUCGCCUCCAUCUCCGUCAUUCUGGCCUGAGCUCUACGUUGAAGGAAAUGGUGCGUGUGUGGGGGGGGGUUGGAGAGACGGCGACGCCAGAUGCGUGUCUGCGGCGAGCUGCCGCGCAGCCCCCCCCCCCUUCUCCUUCUUUUUCUCUCUCUGUCCUCACUUGGCUUCCUCGCGCGCUUGCGACAAUGACGGCCGCGCCAUGUGAUGUCGCUGUGCACGAAGGCAGGUCGGCUCCGUGGUCUCGGCGUUACACGCUCCGUGUAGACGCGGGGAGGGGGUAUCAUCACGGCGGAGAACGCGAUGGCGUUCCACGUGUUGGGCGU